rnacentral:lncRNA from 1 species
AAAUUGACCAGUUACCUUAACAGAUGGAGCAACGUUACUGUGAAUUCCAUGGAGAUUGAAUCUCGCUACAUAAUGCCUAUAAUCAAUCAACACAAGAGUCAGAGAGGAGGAGUGCAUCAGAGCAUUAGCAGAGUGUUUCUUAGCAAGUAAUCUUUCAUAUUUGAUCAGAGCGUUCCAUUUCUUGGAUGUUGAUCGUAAUCGUGCCAAAGAUAGAGCCGGAACCUUAGAGAGUAUUUCCACUAGCAAAUCCUCUGGAAGGUUUCUGAUCAUCAUCUCUCACAAAAGACUGUGAUUAAACCAACUUUCUGAGAGAGUCACUGAUCAUGGAGAGGUAGAAUCAAGAAUCAAGAUAGUUAAUCUUUUUUGUUUUUUGUUUGGUACAAACUCUAUAAAUAUGGGAAAGAUCAUAUACAAGAGAGAAGAGUAGAGCUAGUAAAUUUUUUUAUUUUAUCCUUUACACUCUAAUAAAUAUGGGAAAAUUUUGUCUUUUGGUCCACACAGAUCUUUUACUUCAUUUAGUUUGUAAAUAUUAAAUAUUUUGCUAAAUUUAAUUCUUACUAACUUUCUUUUUCUCAACAUUUAAUUAUUAUUACUAAAUUAAUUAUUAUUUCUUUGGUUAUAAUAUUAUAACAUUAAAAGCAUAUUCAACUAAAAUUAAAUGAAAAUAAUUUUAUAUACUAUUUUUUGGGCUCAAUCUUAGUAAAAUUAUUUAUGCAUUAAAUAUUUUCAGAUUUUUAGAUAAUUUAUAUGUUUUGUUUUAUUGAUUUCGUUUAUAUUUGGUAAGCUUUAUUUAUUUUUAUUUUUUUGAUAAAAUAGGUAAAAUAUGUUUAUAGCAAUAUAGAUUAUUAAAAAUAUAUAUAAAAAGUAAUCUCUUAUUUUUAAUGUGACAUAGCCGAGAAAACUUACACGUAACACUUAAGACAAUUACGUUAUUUCAUGCUAAUAGCCAAAAAAUAAAAGAUUUACUAGAUCUUACCUCUUAUAUAUAUGUGAUCUUCCCAUAUAUAUAGAGUAAGAUAAACCAAAAAUAAAAAAAAUAAACUACAAUCUUGAUUAUACCUCUCCAUCAGAGUGGCUUUCUGUGAAAGUUGGUUUAAUCACAGUCGUGUCGUGUGAGAGAUGAUGUUCAACUACCUUCCGGAGGAUAUGGUUGUAGAGAUACUCUCUAGGGUUCCAGCUGUAUCUCUGGCACGGUUACGAUCAACAUCCAAAAUAUGGAACGCUUUGAUCAAAGAUGGGAGACUUGCUAAGAAGCACUCUGCUAAUGCUCCAAGGCACUCUAUGGCUCUCGUGUUGAUUGAUCAUAGGGUUUAUUUAGUGAGAUCCAAUCUUCGUGAAAUUCACAAUAACGUUGCUCCAUUUGUUUCUGUAACAUGUCAUUUUAGCCUAAAAGAACGUCUUUCUAAACAUUUUUCAACAGAAGUCGACAUACGGGAUGUCUUUCACUGCGAUGGCUUAUUGCUAUGCACCACCAAGGACUAUAGACUGGUAGUUUGGAAUCCAUGUUCAGGUGAAACCAGGUGGAUUCAACCAAGAGAUUCCUACAAGAAAGAUGACUGCUAUGCUCUCGGUAGAUCCUCUUGCAACAAGUACAAAAUCUUGAGGCAGGAACUUCUUAUCAAUCCUAGCCAAGAAUCUUACGUGUACAACAUCGUGAGGGGGGAUUUUCUUAUCAAUAAUAACCAAGAACGUUACGAGUACGAAAUCUAUGACUUUACCUCUAAUUCGUGGAGGGGUGUUGGUGUGUCCACCGGCCUGUUCAAUCCAAAUAUUACCACUGGCAUGUCUGUAAACGGAAUCAUUUACUGGUUUGAUAUUACUGAACAAUUUUUACUAAGUUUUGAUUUCUCAACAGAGAGAUUUGGAAGUGAGUCUCUCCCAGAGGAUGAUAGUCAUUUGGCUUUAUCUGUGACUCGACAAGGGAAACAACUUUGUAUGUUAUCUACUCAUUCCUCAUAUGUGACCGAAACAAACGUUAACUUAUGGAUAGCAACGAAGAGUGAGAACACCGGAGCAAUGUCAUGGAGAAAGUUCCCAAUAUUGCAUGGAGUCGGUCUACGCUAUCGUUAUCAUUUUAGGGAGGGGGUGAGUUUCUUCGCAUACCAGGUGAAGGAGAAGAUUGUUGUAGUUUCUUGUCAUAGACCCAACCGGUACUCCAAGAACAUCAUACACAUUGUGAAACAUGGUAAAUUCAUAGAAUUGGAUCAUCAUGGUGCAAAACCUACACACGAAUGGUCUCCUAUCCCACUUCUCCUCCUAUAUGUUCCAAGUUUGGUUCAAAUCCAACAUGGUAUCUAGUUCUUUGGAGGAGGCAAAAGGGACGCACCAAUUCAGCUAGUGCGCAUGGCCUUGUAAUUGUCACAGUACUAGUCUAUGCAUUAUAUAAUAAGAAAAUAAUAAUCCAACUCUUGAUAUUUUAUAAUUAAGAUAUAUGCAUUGCUAAUUUAUGACUUGUUAUUCUGUUUGCAAGUGGAAUAAUGUUAGGUGUCUUUUGUUAAACGAGCAUAUAUUGUCUUGAUCAUCAAAUUUUUUUAAUUUGAGCAGCACGACCAGUGUUGACACUUAGGUUUCUAAAUGAUCUAAAGACUUGGAGGAACGAGUAUGUGGUGCCGUGCCCAAGUUUACCGGGGCUUAAGGCGAGGUUGAAUUUUGGGACAUUUCUAAUAUACUUUUUCUUUAAAUCAAAUAAAUACAUAUAUUGUGACAAAAAAACUACAUGUAAAAAUAGUUUUGAAACAAAAUCACAAACAUAUCAUCUUGUCUUGAACAUAGAACUUGAGUAAACAAAGAUUUAAAAGCAUUGGAACAUGAUCCACAAUUGGAAAACGAACAAAGUAAAUAUAAACAAGAAAAUUAAAAACAAAAACAAGUUCGUCACUUUUAAAAAGGAUAAAAAAUCAUCUAUGAAACUAUGAAAAGAAACAGAGGAAAUAGAAUUUUGGAUCCUCGAUUACCGUACCUAUUCAUAAAAUACAAAGAUCGUAAAACAUACAACAUAUCUUUCAUGAUUUGGGGGCCUCUAAAUAGCUAUAUAUUUUGGGGGCCUGAAACAAAUGCCAUUUAUUUAAUCCAUAGGCACAACCCUGCGAAUAUGUCACAGUUGACAAGGCUCGCUCUCUGCUUUUGGUUGAUUAGGGUUUACGCUCAAAGCUUAUGAGCUACAAUUCUGUUACGCCCCAAUCGAGUAUACACAUUAGGCUGAAAAGGCCUAAGAUUAACGUUUUGUUUAAUGUGAAUAUUGGAUUUUAAAUAAUAUAUUUGAUCAACUUACUAAAAACCCUUUAUUUCUCUACUAGUAUUCUCUCCUUUGCAAAAUUAACAGAUGGAGCAACGUUACUUUGAAUUCCAUGGAGAUUGAAUCUCACUACAUAAUGCCUAUAAUCAAUCAACACAAGAGCCAGAGAGGAGGAGUGCAUCAGAGCAUUAGCAGAGUGCUUCUUAGCAAUUACUCUUUCAUAUUUGAUCAGAGCGUUCCAUUUUUUGGAUGAUCAUAAUCGUGCCAAAGAUAAAGCCAGAACCCUAGAGAGUAUAUAUUUCCACUAGCAAAUCCUCUGGAAGGUUUUUGGUCGUCAUCUCUCACAAAAGACUCUUAUUAAACCAACUUUCUAAGAAAGCCACUGAUCAUGGAGAGGUAGAAUCAAG